rnacentral:misc_RNA from 1 species
UACGUAGGUGGCAAGCGUUGUCCGGAAUUAUUGGGCGUAAAGCGCGCGCAGGCGGCCUAUUAAGGUGGAUGUGAAAUCCCCCGGCUCAACCUGGGAGGGCCAUUGGAAACUGGGAGGCUUGAGUAUAGGAGAGAAGAGUGGAAUUCCACGUGUAGCGGUGAAAUGCGUAGAGACGUGGAGGAACACCAGUGGCGAAGGCGACUCUUUGGCCUAUAACUGACGCUGAGGCGCGAAAGGGUGGGGAGCAAACAGG